CGAGGACGAACGCUGGCGGCGUGCCUAACACAUGCAAGUCGAGCGGAGACAGUGAGUAGCUUGCUAUGAGCUGUUUUAGCGGCGGACGGGUGAGUAACGCGUGAGCAACCUUUCCCAGACAGGGGAAUAACACACCGAAAGGUGUACUAAUACCGCAUAAGACCACGGGAUCACAUGGUUCUGGGGUAAAAGAUUUAUCGGUUUGGGGUGGGCUCGCGUCCGAUUAGGUAGUUGGUGAGGUAACGGCCCACCAAGGCGACGAUCAGUAGCCGGACUGAGAGGUUGAACGGCCACAUUGGGACUGAGAAACGGUCCAGACUCCUACGGGAGGCAGCAGUGGGGAAUAUUGGGCAAUGGGCGAAAGCCUGACCCAGCGACGCCGCGUGAGGGAAGAAGGUCUUCGGAUUGUAAACCUUAGUUAGCAGGGAAGAAGAAAGUGACGGUACCUGCAGAGAAAGCCACGGCUAACUACGUG
rnacentral:rRNA from 1 species